UUCCGGUUGAUCCCGCCGGAGGCGACCGCUUUGGGAGUUCGACUGAGCCAUGCGAGUCGUGAGUCUUAGGGACUCGGCAUACUGCUCAGUAACACGUGGAUAACCUGCCCUAUCGUCUGGAAUAACCUCGGGAAACUGAGAAUAAGGCCGGAUAGUUCACAAUGCCUGGAACGGUUUGUGAAUCAAGGUAGGAUGGGUCUGCGGCGUAUCAGGUUGUAGGGGGUGUAAAGGACCCCCUAGCCUUCGACGCGUACGGGUGUUGGGAGACAUAGCCCGGAGAUGGAUUCUGAGACACGAAUCCAGACCCUACGGGGUGCAGCAGGCGCGAAAACUUCACACUGCAGGAAACUGUGAUGAGGGAACUCCUAGUGCAUGCACUAUGUGUAUGUAGAUCCUACUCUUAACAAGUAGAGGGAAAGGGCUGGGAAAGACCGGUGCCAGCCGCCGCGGUAAUACCGGCAGCUCAAGUGGUCGUCGCUUUUAUUGGGCCUAAAACGUCCGUAGCCUGUUUGGUAAAUCUGUGGGUAAAUCAAUCCGCUCAACGGAUUGAAUUCUGCAGAGACUGCCAGACUAGGGACCGGGAGAGGUGUGGGGUACUCGAGGGGUAGGGGUAAAAUCCUGUCAUCCUUCGAGGACCACCAGUUGCGAAGGCGCCACACUGGAACGGAUCCGACGGUCAGGGACGAAGCCUAGGGGCACGAACCGGAUUAGAUACCCGGGUAGUCCUAGGUGUAAACGCUGUGAACUUGGUGUCGGGGGUCCGCAAGGGGUCCCCGGUGCCGGAGUGAAGAUGUUAAGUUCACUGCCUGGGGAGUACGGUCGCAAGGCUGAAACUUAAAGGAAUUGGCGGGGCAGCAC
rnacentral:rRNA from 1 species